GGCCAAUGCAAGAACAUUGAGUUCCCAGUCCCCCAGAAGGAAAGCACGGGUAUCCGUGUCUGCCAUUCUGGCAUGAGUGUGGCCUGAGCCAGGCAAAAAUCUGAACCCUAAGCCUGAUGCUUGCUAGGUCUGUCUUCUCACACUCCUGAGUCUUUAUUUCCUCGAGUAUGCUGUCAGUGCCUCGGGGCUGUUUGGAUACUGAAACGAGAGAUGAUCUGCAAAUGUCUAGCAUUCAUCAGGUAUCUAAGAAAGCACAGCCAAGCGUUCCCCUGGCUGCAUUUUCAACAAUGCUCCCGUGUCAGUAGCCACAGGGGGGUCAGGGCAGUUCACUUGCUCCUUCCUCUGUGCUGUCUGGGCCCCAGUGGGAAGACAGGUUUGCAUGGUUUUGUUAUUGUAUUUUUCCAGCCCCCACCCCCACUGCCCCACUCCCACUGCCCCCUUCUGAAUUGUCUUUUCUUCUCUUUUAGUUUUCAUGUACUACUUUGAUAA
rnacentral:lncRNA from 1 species